rnacentral:rRNA from 1 species
UACGUAGGGUGCAAGCGUUAUCCGGAAUUAUUGGGCGUAAAGAGCUCGUAGGCGGUUUGUCGCGUCUGCUGUGAAAACUGGAGGCUCAACCUCCAGCCUGCAGUGGGUACGGGCAGACUAGAGUGCGGUAGGGGAGAUUGGAAUUCCUGGUGUAGCGGUGGAAUGCGCAGAUAUCAGGAAGAACACCAAUGGCGAAGGCAGCUCUCUGGGACGGUACUGACGCUGAGACGCGAAAGCGUGGGGAGCGAACAGG